ACGUAAUAGAUACCCGGGUAGUCCUGGCAGUAAACGGUGCGCGUUUGGUGUGGGAGGAUUCGACCCCUUCUGUGCCGGAGCUAAACGCGUUAAAAACGCGCCGCCUGGGGAGUACGGUCGCAAGAUUAAAACUCAAAGAAAUUGACGGGGGCCCGCACAAGCGGUGGAGUAUGUGGCUUAAUUCGAUGCAACGCGAAGAACCUUACCAGGCCUUGACAUGCAUCUCUAAGUCGGUGAAAGCCGGCGAGUGUAGCAAUACACAAUUUGCACAGGUGCUGCAUGGCUGUCGUCAGCUCGUGUCGUGAGACGUUGGGUUAAGUCCCGCAACGAGCGCAACCCCUGUGAACUGUUGCCACC
rnacentral:rRNA from 1 species